GUUAUUUUGGCAGAUUAGUGCUAUAGAUUUAGAAUCUUUAUAUGUAAUUAUUUUACAAAUAAUA
rnacentral:tRNA from 1 species